GUCAAGCCCUUAGCAGUGAGUUAAGUAUCUGAUUAACCUCCAUUGCAGCCUCUGGUUUAGAGAUGAAUCAAUUGAAGCAGAGAGAGAGCAUCACAUGGUUAGUAAAUGGCAGGGUUGGGAUGGAACUCACUUCUGCCAGACUCUAGAGCUCUUCCCUGAUGCAGAAUUGAUAAGGGGCCCUGCGUCAUGGCAGAGCACCUUACACCCUGACUGAGAAUUCCCAUUCCUGAGCUUGGGAGUAACUAAUGCCCACCCCUCUCCAGCCCUCGGGGUGCUAUUGACACACCAGUGGCCUCAGAGUCAGGACACUGGGUUCCAUGUGGAUUCUGAUGCCACCUUGCUGGGUAACACUGGGGACUAAGACCCUGCUCUAUGCAGGGGAAGAGAAAGAAGAUGGUUUUAUUUUCCCACCUCCAUUGUCUUUUCAUUGAGAGAUCCCUGCAAGGGGGUGUCAUCCACUCAGCAAACACAAGUCAACGACUCAGGGUUGGUACAUGACAAGAAAAGUUGGGAAACACCUUUCUUGAAGGCCUGGACUUAACCCAGAGAGCCCCAAGUGAUGGGGCCAGGUGGCCUCCCCUCCAGGACAGCCUGAAGCAAGAGGACACCUCCUUCUUGACACUUCCAAAGGGCCACGCGGGAUUCCAGGUUGUCCAUCUGCAUCUGCAACCGCUUCAGGGUGAGGUCACUUUCGCGGGACUUGCGUUUAUAGGCGAUGAGCACAGCCACGAUGAAGAUGAUGAGGAGGCCGCCGGCCACCGCGAUGCUGACGAUGGCAGGCAGGCUGAGCGGGCUGUCAGGCGCGAUAUACACCAUUCCCGGGGAGUAUUCCAUGCCACCAACACGGGCCUGGGGCACAUAGGGCAAGAGGGAGCUGGGUGUGAGGACACAGAAGCUUUGGCAACAGUCCCAAGUCACCCAUGAAUUGGUGACCAGGGCAGGAUGAGGGAAAGGAGAGACCAAUCACUGGUGUUGAAAUAGACAAGAGUGCAUGAGGGGCUGGAAGUGGACAGGCACAGCUCAACAGAGCUCACCGCUACCUGGAAAAACCCCACUUCCUCUUAUUCAGGAGCGAGUUUUGUCAUCUUCAUAAGGAAACAGCACACAACUGGGACCUAAACACAGUCUGCCACCAAUGACUGGUUCCCCUAAGAUUUAUAUACCCAUUGUAAGGGUGAGGACAGCUGAGGCACAGAACAUGAUAUUCAGAUAUCACGGACUUCCUGGGCCAGCAAGGGCUUAUUCUUGAAGGCUUUCUUGGUUGUGGCAGGUGAUUUAGCAACUGCUUAAUGCUGUUUUGCAUUUUCCUUAUUGCUGCACCAGCCAGCAUGGAAAGAAUGGCAAUACAGAAGGGAGAAGCUCAAAAGUGGACAUGAAGAAGGAACUUGGGGUGCGGGGUAGCUAAAGGGAAGCUCUUGGUGGGCCAGAAUCCCCUCCUGGAAAUCACUGGUGGCUGAGAUGGAGCUGGACCGCUCACAUCCGUACCCCUCCUGCCCGCUCCAACCAGGAUGGGGUUCUGCCAGGCUCACCAUCACUUUGUGCCUGCCAAUGAGGUUGGGGGACUCGCAGAGCAGCUGCACAUCCGACACGGUCACGGUGCACGGCUUCUCCCCAACCAGCACGGUGUAGUUCAGCUUCACAUUGCCCCCAGCCACGGGCGGGAUCAGGUUCUUGCCCUGGACAGAUGGGAAAGCCUCAGUUCCCACCCCAGAGAGAGGACCACAGCUACCAGCUGGCUCUCACGUCCUCCCACCUGGAGAUCCCAUCCUGCUGGUGAGCUGGUGAAGAAGCCACCUUUGGCAAUAAGUACAAAAAAAAAAAAAUUUGUGGUACGUAUACUACCAUUAACUCUUCCUCCAAGUGGGUAAUCAAUAAUCAAAGCACUCCUUUCAGCUUAUCCCAAAUGCAGCCUAAGAACCCUUCUCAAUGCAGUGUUGGAGUCAGUCACUACCAAUGGAUUCGAAUUGUCAUGAGUUUUAGUUAACUGUGACCCAUGUUCCAAAGGAAGCCUGUGCUGUGGUUUGCACAAGGUUGCCUCAGAGGAAGCAGUGAGCCCCUGACCUUCCAGCACCUGGACUGUCAGAACAAUAAAAGCCUGAGAGUCAAAGAG